rnacentral:rRNA from 1 species
GACCCGCGUUGGAUUAGCUUGUUGGUGAGGUAACGGCCCACCAAGGCGACGAUCCAUAGCCGGCCUGAGAGGGUGAACGGCCACAUUGGGACUGAGACACGGCCCAGACUCCUACGGGAGGCAGCAGUGGGGAAUAUUGCACAAUGGGGGAAACCCUGAUGCAGCGACGCCGCGUGAAGGAAGAAGUAUUUCGGUAUGUAAACUUCUAUCAGCAGGGAAGAUAGUGACGGUACCUGACUAAGAAGCCCCGGCUAACUACGUGCCAGCAGCCGCGGUAAUACGUAGGGGGCAAGCGUUAUCCGGAUUUACUGGGUGUAAAGGGAGCGUAGACGGUGUGGCAAGUCUGAUGUGAAAGGCAUGGGCUCAACCUGUGGACUGCAUUGGAAACUGUCAUACUUGAGUGCCGGAGGGGUAAGCGGAAUUCCUAGUGUAGCGGUGAAAUGCGUAGAUAUUAGGAGGACACCAGUGGCGAAGGCGGCUUACUGGACGNGUAACUGACGUUGAGGCUCGAAGCGUGGNGGAGCAAA